rnacentral:lncRNA from 1 species
AAAAAAGAGAAGGCGGGAGGGGGGAGGAAAGGGAGAAAAGCCGCAAUGCCUGUUGCUUGGACAGGGAGCGUGGCGGAUUCUGAAGACGCCUCUUCCACCCAUUCGCCUUGUUCCUUCGCCCCUUGGGCUGCAGGUCUCCGGAGGACCGAGGAAACCGGUGGCUGGAGGCAAAAGGAGACAGCAGGGAUUCUGGGCUCCCGCCUUCUCAGUGAUGACCUUCCUCCUUUGGGACAGCUUACUCCUGCAAAUCUGGACCAACCCCUCCUACCUGUAAAAACAUGGCUCUUCAGGAAGGCAGUUGGAGAUGAUUGUGGGUCAGAGAUUAUUUUGGACAUAUCAGUGAAUGAUUCAUAUUCAGAACUGGAUAGCAAACACAUGUCUCUGUUGAUUCUGUUGUUCUAUUUUAUCUCCAGGAAAUUUAACAUAUAGGUGAAACCACUUGGAGAGUUUGCAAGCUAUUCAUAUGGAAUUGGCAUGCAUCGUAUUCUUCCCUUUGUUAUUCCCCACAACAGCAACCCUGUGAGGUAGGUUGGAAUGGGAGAAAGUGAUUGGGUCCAAAGUCAUCCAGUGAACCUCCAUGG